CCUACGGGGCGCUGCAGUGGGGAAUUUUGGUCAAUGGACGCAAGUCUGAACCAGCCAUGCCGCGUGCAGGAAGACGGCUCUAUGAGUUGUAAACUGCUUUUGUACGAGGGUAAACGCAGAUACGCGUAUCUGUAUGACAGGAUAGUACGAAGAAGGAUCGGACAACCCCGUGCCAGCAGCCGAGGUAAUACGGAGGAGUCAAGCGUUAUCCGGUUUUAAUGGGGUUAAAGGGUGCGUAGUCGGUGGGGUAAGUUGGAGGUGAAAUCCUGAGGCUCAACUUCGGAAUUGCCUCUGAUACUGUUCGGCUAGAGAGUAGUUGCGGCAGACGGAAUGUAUGGUGUAGCGGUGAAAUGCUUAGAGAUCAUACAGAACACCGAUGGCGAAGGCAGCUUA
rnacentral:rRNA from 1 species